rnacentral:rRNA from 1 species
UCAGGAUGAACGCUGGCGGCGUGCCUAAUACAUGCAAGUCGAGCGAACGGACGAGAGUGCUUGCACUCUCUGAAGUUAGCGGCGGACGGGUGAGUAACACGUGGGUAACCUACCUAUAAGACUGGGAUAACUUCGGGAAACCGGAGCUAAUACCGGAUAAUAUUUAGCUUCGCAUGAAGCAAUAGUGAAAGACGGUUCUGCUGUCACUUAUAGAUGGACCCGCGGUGUAUUAGCUAGUUGGUGAGGUAACGGCUCACCAAGGCAACGAUACAUAGCCGACCUGAGAGGGUGAUCGGCCACACUGGGACUGAGACACGGCCCAGACUCCUACGGGAGGCAGCAGUAGGGAAUCUUCCGCAAUGGACGAAAGUCUGACGGAGCAACGCCGCGUGAGUGAAGAAGGUUUUCGGAUCGUAAAACUCUGUUGUAAGGGAAGAACAAGUACGUUAGUAACUGAACGUACCUUGACGGUACCUUACCAGAAAGCCACGGCUAACUACGUGCCAGCAGCCGCGGUAAUACGUAGGUGGCAAGCGUUAUCCGGAAUUAUUGGGCGUAAAGCGCGCGUAGGCGGUCUCUUAAGUCUGAUGUGAAAGCCCCCGGCUCAACCGGGGAGGGUCAUUGGAAACUGGGAGACUUGAGUGCAGAAGAGGAGAGUGGAAUUCCAUGUGUAGCGGUGAAAUGCGCAGAGAUAUGGAGGAACACCAGUGGCGAAGGCGGCUCUCUGGUCUGUAACUGACGCUGAGGUGCGAAAGCGUGGGGAUCAAACAGGAUUAGAUACCCUGGUAGUCCACGCCGUAAACGAUGAGUGCUAAGUGUUGGGGGGUUUCCGCCCCUCAGUGCUGCAGCUAACGCAUUAAGCA